rnacentral:rRNA from 1 species
GACGAACGCUGGCGGCGUGCUUAACACAUGCAAGUCGAACGGAAAGGCCCUGCUUUUGUGGGGUGCUCGAGUGGCGAACGGGUGAGUAACACGUGAGUAACCUGCCCUUGACUUUGGGAUAACUUCAGGAAACUGGGGCUAAUACCGGAUAGGAGCUCCUGCUGCAUGGUGGGGGUUGGAAAGUUUCGGCGGUUGGGGAUGGACUCGCGGCUUAUCAGCUUGUUGGUGGGGUAGUGGCUUACCAAGGCUUUGACGGGUAGCCGGCCUGAGAGGGUGACCGGCCACAUGGGGACGGAGAUACGGCCCAGACUCUUACGGGAGGCAGCAGUGGGGAAUAUGGCACAAUGGGCGGAAGCCUGAUGCAGCAACGCCGCGUGCGGGAUGACGGCCUUCGGGUUGUAAACCGCUUUCGCCUGUGACGAAGCGUGAGUGACGGUAAUGGGUAAAGAAGCACCGGCUAACUACGU